rnacentral:sRNA from 1 species
GAUUGCGUACAAACUCUUGUUUAUGCAUUCGCAAUAUACAUGAAUUACCUGGUCCUGAUAAAUAGAUGCUCUAUAUCUGCUUUACUCCAAUCCACAUGAUGAACUGGAAAUCGCCCGAGGUAGAAUACAUGUGAAUCAUGCAUUAUAUAUAUAUCUUCAGGAAUAGGUGGCUACCUCAAGGAUUGGUCCUUUUUGGUGUAGUGGUAAAGCCUACCUCGAAGAUUGCCUGUUUUACAAUACACUUCUUCAUCCAAGCAAACUCGAAAUCUCUGUAUGCCCCCCAGAACCCCUUGGGAAAUGUCUUUGUGCGAACAGUCUUAUACCCUCUCCUCUCCCAAUACGGCCCAUUUAUUGCCUUUGUUGCCUUUACCCAGAAUGUCAACAGUUGUUGUCGCCCUUGUGCGAUUGCACCCUUAGC